rnacentral:tRNA from 1 species
GGGUGUCUAGUUCAAUUGGCAGAACGCCGGUCUCCAAAACCGGAGGUUGUAGGUUCGAGACCUGCGAUGCCCGCCA